GACGAACGCUGGCGGCGUGCUUAACACAUGCAAGUCGAACGGAAAGGCCCUGCUUUUGUGGGGUGCUCGAGUGGCGAACGGGUGAGUAACACGUGAGUAACCUGCCCUUGACUUUGGGAUAACUUCAGGAAACUGGGGCUAAUACCGGAUAGGAGCUCCUGCUGCAUGGUGGGGGUUGGAAAGUUUCGGCGGUUGGGGAUGGACUCGCGGCUUAUCAGCGUGUGGGUGGGGUAGUGGCUUACCAAGGCUUUGACGGGUAGCCGGCCUGAGAGGGUGACCGGCCACAUUGGGACUGAGAUACGGCGCAGACUACUACGGGAGGCAGCAGUGGGGAAUAUUGCACAAUGGGCGGAAGCCUGAUGCAGCAACGCCGCGUGCGGGAUGACGGCCUUCGGGUUGUAACCCGCUUUCGCCUGUGACGAAGCGUGAGUGACGGUAAUGGGUAAAGAAGCACCGGCUAACUACGUG
rnacentral:rRNA from 1 species